CCAGCCAUGGCAGGGGGAGCUGGGCAGGUCACCCACCUUUGAUUAAGUGAUUCCAGCACCUGCUGAAAGCUUUGCUCAAAACAGGAUAAAUUUUUAAUCCCUCCAAAUUGCUUCUGCAGCUGCACAAGGAGUCUCCUGGUUUUCCAUGGGGGUGACCUGCACCUUCUUGUGGCUUUUGAAAAGCUGUGGAUGAAAAUUGAGGCAAAACAUCUCGUGCCCCAGAUCUCAAAGAAAGCUCUGCUCUCACCAAGGGUUUUCAUGGCCAGGAACAUAACAAAGCACAUCAGAGGAUUUAACUACUGUUUUCCAGUGUUUCAGGCAAGUUUAAUCUAGGUCUUUAUCCUAAUCAGAACCUGUGAAGGUUUUUUUAAAUCCUCUCCUCAUAAUUAUUAUUUACAGUUAAUGCCAC